UGGCUCUCGCAUCGAUGAAGAACGCAGCGAAAUGCGAUAAGUAAUGUGAAUUGCAGAAUUCAGUGAAUCAUCGAAUCUUUGAACGCACCUUGCGCUCCUUGGUAUUCCAUGGAGCAUGCCUGUUCGAGUGUCACGUGAAUCCAUCACCUCCCUUCGGGGCUGCGUGGACUUGGACGUUGCCGGCCGUUUCGGUCGGCUCGUCUCGAAAUGCAUUAGCCUGCAGAGUGUCUGCCGGGCCUUUGGCGUGAUAGUACAUUUCGCCGUUGCGCUCUGGUGACGUGUCCUCUGGGCUCACAAUGGCGAGCGCUUUUGCUCGACCCCAUUUUUACGCUCUGGCCUCAAAUCAGGUAGGACUACCCGCUGA
rnacentral:misc_RNA from 1 species